rnacentral:rRNA from 1 species
UGCGUAGGCGGAAGAUUAAGUCAGUGGUGAAAUCCUGCAGCUCAACUGUAGAACUGUCAUUGAUACUGAUUUUCUUGAAUACAGUAGAGGUAGGCGGAAUAUGUAAUGUAGCGGUGAAAUGCUUAGAUACUACAUAGAACACCGAUUGCGAAGGCAGCUUACUAUACUGUGAUUGACGCUGAGGCACGAAAGCGUGGGGAGCGAACAGGAUUAGAUACCCUGGUAGUCC